rnacentral:rRNA from 1 species
UGGAGAGUUUGAUCCUGGCUCAGGAUGAACGCUGGCGGCGUGCUUAACACAUGCAAGUCGAACGAUGAUCYCCAGCUUGCUGGGGGGAUUAGUGGCGAACGGGUGAGUAACACGUGAGUAACCUGCCCUUAACUCUGGGAUAAGCCUGGGAAACUGGGUCUAAUACCGGAUAUGACUCCUCAUCGCAUGGUGGGGGGUGGAAAGCUUUUUGUGGUUUUGGAUGGACUCGCGGCCUAUCAGCUUGUUGGUGAGGUAAUGGCUUACCAAGGCGACGACGGGUAGCCGGCCUGAGAGGGUGACCGGCCACACUGGGACUGAGACACGGCCCAGACUCCUACGGGAGGCAGCAGUGGGGAAUAUUGCACAAUGGGCGCAAGCCUGAUGCAGCGACGCCGCGUGAGGGAUGACGGCCUUCGGGUUGUAAACCUCUUUCAGUAGGGAAGAAGCGAAAGUGACGGUACCUGCAGAAGAAGCGCCGGCUAACUACGUGCCAGCAGCCGCGGUA